AGCAGCCGCGGUAAUUCCAGCUCCAAUAGCGUAUAUUAAAGUUGUUGCAGUUAAAAAGCUCGUAGUUGAAUUUCGGGGUUAGUAGGUCGGUCAUGCCUCAGGUAUGCACUGGUCUCACUGAUUCCUCCUUCCUGAUGAGCCGUAAUGCCAUUAAUUUGGUGUUGCGGGGAAUCUGGACUGUUACUUUGAAAAAAUUAGAGUGUUUAAAGCAGGCUA
rnacentral:rRNA from 1 species